AGAGCGAACGCUGGCGGCAGGCUUAACACAUGCAAGUCGAGCGGGCGUAGCAAUACGUCAGCGGCAGACGGGUGAGUAACGCGUGGGAACAUACCUUUUGGUUCGGAACAACACAGGGAAACUUGUGCUAAUACCGGAUAAGCCCUUACGGGGAAAGAUUUAUCGCCGAAAGAUUGGCCCGCAUCUGAUUAGCUAGUUGGUGAGGUAACGGCUCACCAAGGCGACGAUCAGUAGCUGGUCUGAGAGGAUGAUCAGCCACAUUGGGACUGAGACACGGCCCAAACUCCUACGGGAGGCAGCAGUGGGGAAUCUUGCGCAAUGGGCGAAAGCCUGACGCAGCAACGCCGCGUGCGGGAUGAAGGCCUUCGGGUUGUAAACCGCUUUCAGCAGGGACGAAAUUGACGGUACCUGCAGAAGAAGCCCCGGCCAACUACGUGCCAGCAGCCGC
rnacentral:rRNA from 1 species